rnacentral:rRNA from 1 species
ACAGCAGUAGCCGCGGUAAUACGAAGGGUGCAAGCGUUACUCGGAAUUACUGGGCGUAAGGCGUGCGUAGGUGGUGGUUUAAGUCCGUUGUGAAAGCCCUGGGCUCAACCUGGGAAUUGCAGUGGAUACUGGGUCACUAGAGUGUGGUAGAGGAUAGUGGAAUUUCCGGUGUAGCAGUGAAAUGCGUAGAGAUCGGAAGGAACAUCUGUGGCGAAGGCGACUAUCUGGGCCAACACUGACACUGAGGCACGAAAGCGUGGGGAGCAAACAGGAUUAGAUACCCCGGUAGUCCCUGUCUCUUAUAC